UACAGAGGAGCCAAGCGUUGUCCGGAUUGACUGGGCGUAAAGCGCACGCAGGCGGGUGCGCGCGUGGGGUGUGAAAUCUGGCCGCUUAACGGCCAGGCGCCAUCCCAUACGGCGCGCCUGGAGCCUUGCAGAGGUCGGUGGAAUUGCCGGUGUAGUGGUGAAAUGCGUAGAGAUCGGCAGGAACACCCAGGGGGAAACCAGCCGACUGGGCAAGUGCUGACGCCGAGGUGCGAGAGCGUGGGGAGCGAACCGG
rnacentral:rRNA from 1 species